rnacentral:rRNA from 1 species
CAGCCGCCGCGGUAAAACGAAGGGGGCUAGCGUUGUUCGGAAUUACUGGGCGUAAAGGGCGCGUAGGCGGCCAUUCAAGUUAGAUGUGAAAGCCCUGGGCUCAACCUAGGAAUUGCAUUUGAUACUGUUUGGCUUGAGUUCGGGAGAGGUGAGUGGAAUUCCCAGUGUAGAGGUGAAAUUCGUAGAUAUUGGGAAGAACACCAGUGGCGAAGGCGGCUCACUGGACCGACACUGACGCUGAGGCGCGAAAGCGUGGGGAGCAAACAGGAUUAGAUACCCCCGUAGUCCCUGUCUUUAUACA